rnacentral:rRNA from 1 species
GAUGAACGCUAGCGGCAGGCCUAAUACAUGCAAGACGAACGGUAAGUUGAGUAGCAAUAUUUAGCCAAGAGUGUCGUACGGGUGCGUAACACGUAUGCAACCUACCCUAUACAGGGGGAUAGCCUAGGGAAACCUGGAUUAACCCUUCAUAGUAUUAUUGGAUGGCAUCAUUUGAUAAUUAAAACUGAGGUGGUAUAGGAUGGGCAUGCGUCUGAUUAGUUAGUUGGCGGGGUAAUGGCCCACCAAGACGAUGAUCAGUAGGGGUUCUGAGAGGAAGAUCCCCCACACUGGCACUGAGAUACGGGCCAGACUCCUACGGGAGCAGCAGUAGGGAAUAUUGGUCAAUGGAUGCAAGUCUGAACCAGCCAUGCCGCGUGCAGGAAGAAGGCCUUCUGGGUUGUAAACUGCUUUUGCCAGGGGAUGAAAUUUCCAUGCGUGGAAAACUGAAGGUACCUGGUGAAUAAGCCACGGCUAACUACGUGCCAGCAGCCGCGGUAAU